GACGAACGCUGGCGGCGUGCCUAAUACAUGCAAGUCGAACGCAGUGGGGACGGGUGAGUAACACGAGGUUAACCUCUCCAUCAGAGGGGAUAACACUUGGAAACAGGUGCUAAACCGAUACUGAUGGAUGGACCCGCGGUGCAUUAGAGAGUUGGUAAGGUAACGGCGUACCAAGGAAACGAUGCAUAGCCGACCUGAGAGGGGGAUCGGCCACACUGGAACUGAGACACGGUCCAGACUCCUACGGGAGGCAGCAGUAGGGAAUCUUCGGCAAUGGGCGAAAGUCUGACCGAGCAACGCCGCGUGAGUGAAGAAGGUGUUCGGAUCGUAAAACUCUGUUGUUAGAGAAGCGGUAUCUAACCAGAAAGCCACGGCUAACUACGUGCCAGCCGCCGCGGUAAUAC
rnacentral:rRNA from 1 species